AUUUAUGCUUCCCAACUGUUCACAGAUGCUAUAGAUUUUAGGAUGAGCUAACUCUGAUGGAUCUAGUGGUAGCUGAGCUGCUCAGCACAUUGGCUCUCCCUUAUGAUGUCCACCAGGACAAGCCCUCCAGCACUGCUCCAGCUAGACCACAGAGUGUGUCACCAUCACCAGGACGCAGGUAUGGAAAAUGAAGGAAAGAAGGAAGGACAAGGAGAGAUGGAGGAGAGAGAUCUUACAGGCUUUCAAGUCUAAGAUCUCAUUUGCAGUUUGGUGACCCUGAAUCUAUACCACUGUGGUGAACAUGCUGUGAAGACAGGAAAUCUCUCUCUACACCCUGCAUGCUCUCUGAACUCCAUAAUUGGAAAAAGAUUCAGAGAACAAUAUGAACAUUUGCAAAGGAGAAAAUCUUCUCUCAUGAAUGUGUGGUGUGACUUCUCUUUAAAUUUGGCUGUCAUUCUUUUCUUUUACAAAGAAAACCGUACCAUUAAUUCCAGCUGGUAACUCCUCACAAAUACAAAGACAAUUUUAAUUUGAAAUACGGCCCCAUUCUGAACCUGAGUUUGCUGGUAGAGAAGAUUGCAUGACACACAUAAAAGUGGACGAGGAAGAGGAACAAGAAGGAAAUGGAAGAGGCCUUCGGAUGAAGAUAUUGAACUCUCAGUUCUUCCUGCACCAUGCCUGCCUGGAUGCUGUCAUGCUCCUGCCUUGAUGAAAAUGAACUGAACCUCUGAACUUCAUACUAUGCCAAGAAAAUGCAAGCCUUUGGUCAGUAUCCCACUGAGAGCCCUCCUCAUACCAGUGGACAUCACUUGUUUUUAGGGGCUAUACAAAGCUACUAAUACCAAUUUCUAAAGUUAUUACAAAAGCAGCAAAGAGAAAUAUGGAAUCUCAAGCAACAUUCUCUGUGCAAGUAGAGUCAUGCCACCUGAACAACUGAUACUGUUUCAAAGAAUGAAACUAGAGCUAUAAGUGUCCCC
rnacentral:lncRNA from 1 species